CUUUCCCUCUUUCUUUCUGCCUAACACAUGCAAGUCGAACGGCAGCACAGUAAGAGCUUGCUCUUACGGGUGGCGAGUGGCGGACGGGUGAGGAAUACAUCGGAAUCUACUUUUUCGUGGGGGAGAACGUAGGGAAACUUACGCUAAUACCGCAUACGACCUACGGGUGAAAGCAGGGGAUCUUCGGACCUUGCGCGAUUGAAUGAGCCGAUGUCGGAUUAGCUAGUUGGCGGGGUAAAGGCCCACCAAGGCGACGAUCCGUAGCUGGUCUGAGAGGAUGAUCAGCCACACUGGAACUGAGACACGGUCCAGACUCCUACGGGAGGCAGCAGUGGGGAAUAUUGGACAAUGGGCGCAAGCCUGAUCCAGCCAUACCGCGUGGGUGAAGAAGGCCUUCGGGUUGUAAAGCCCUUUUGUUGGGAAAGAAAAGCAGCAGGUUAAUACCCCGCUGUUCUGACGGUACCCAAAGAAUAAGCACCGGCUAACUUCGUG
rnacentral:rRNA from 1 species